CCUACGGGUGGCAGCAGUGGGGGAUAUUGCGCAAUGGGCGCAAGCCUGACCCAGCAACGCCGCGUGAAGGAAGAAGGAUUUCGGGAUGUAAACUUCUUUUCUCAGGGACGAAGCAAGUGCCGGUACCGGAGGAAUAAGCCACGGCUAACUACGUGCAGGCAGCCGCGGUACUACGUAGGUGGCAAGCGUUAUCCGGAUUUACGGGGUGUAAAGGGCGGGUAGGCGGGAAAGCAAGACAGAUGUGAAAACCAUGGGCUCAACCUGUGGCCUGCAUUGGAAACUGUUUGUCUGGAGUACUGGAGAGGCAGACGGAAUUCCUAGUGUAGCGGUGAAAUGCGUAGAUAUUAGGAGGAACACCAGUGGCGAAGGCGGUCUGCUGGACAGCAACUGACGCUGAGGCGCGAAAGCGUGGGGAGCAAACAGGAUUAGAUACCCUUGUAGUC
rnacentral:rRNA from 1 species